GAUGAACGCUGGCGGCGUGCCUAACACAUGCAAGUCGAGCGAUUCUCCUCGGAGAAGAGCGGCGGACGGGUGAGUAACGCGUGGGUAACCUGCCCUGUACACACGGAUAACAUACCGAAAGGUAUGCUAAUACGAGAUAAUAUGCUUUUAUCGCAUGGUAGAAGUAUCAAAGCUCCGGCGGUACAGGAUGGACCCGCGUCUGAUUAGCUAGUUGGUAAGGUAACGGCUUACCAAGGCGACGAUCAGUAGCCGACCUGAGAGGGUGAUCGGCCACAUUGGAACUGAGACACGGUCCAAACUCCUACGGGAGGCAGCAGUGGGGAAUAUUGCACAAUGGGCGAAAGCCUGAUGCAGCAACGCCGCGUGAGCGAUGAAGGCCUUCGGGUCGUAAAGCUCUGUCCUCAAGGAAGAUAAUGACGGUACUUGAGGAGGAAGCCCCGGCUAACUACGUG
rnacentral:rRNA from 1 species